UGGGGAAUCUUGGACAAUGGGCGAAAGCCUGAUCCAGCCAUGCCGCGUGCAGGAUGAAGGCCUUCGGGUUGUAAACUGCUUUUGUACGGAACGAAACGGUCUUUUCUAAUACAGAAGGCUAAUGACGGUACCGUAAGAAUAAGCACCGGCUAACUACGUGCCAGCAGCCGCGGUAAUACGUAGGGUGCAAGCGUUAAUCGGAAUUACUGGGCGUAAAGCGUGCGCAGGCGGUUAUGUAAGACAGUUGUGAAAUCCCCGGGCUCAACCUGGGAACUGCAUCUGUGACUGCAUAGCUAGAGUACGGUAGAGGGGGAUGGAAUUCCGCGUGUAGCAGUGAAAUGCGUAGAUAUGUGGAGGAACACCGAUGGCGAAGGCAGCCCCCUGGGUCAAGAUUGACGCUCAUGCACGAAAGCGUGGGGAGCAAACAGGAUUAGAUACCCCGGUAGUCCCUGAG
rnacentral:rRNA from 1 species